rnacentral:rRNA from 1 species
CAAAAACAUGUCUUUUUGAGUUAUUUUUAAAGUCUGACCUGCCCACUGAAAUUAUUUAAAUGGCCGCAGUAUUUUAACUGUGCAAAGGUAGCAUAAUCAUUAGUCUUUUAAUUGAAGGCUGGUAUGAACGGUUGGACGAGGUAUAAGCUGUUUCAUAUAAAUUUAUAAUAGAAUUUUAUAUUUUAGUCAAAAAGCUAAAAUAUAUUUAAAAGACGAGAAGACCCUAUAAAUCUUUAUGUUUUGUGUUGUUUAAAUUUUUUGGGAUUGGUUUAUUUUUAUAAUAUAAAAUAUUUUGUUGGGGUGAUAUUAAAAUUUAAUUAACUUUUAAUUAUUUAAAAUCAUUAAUUUAUGAGUUAUUGAUCCAUUAAUAGUGAUUAUAAGAUUAAGUUACUUUAGGGAUAACAGCGUAAUUUUUUUGGAGAGUUCAUAUCGAUAAAAAAGUUUGCGACCUCGAUGUUGGAUUAAGAUAUAAUUUUAGGUGUAGUCGCUUAAA